rnacentral:rRNA from 1 species
AUUGAACGCUGGCGGCAGGCCUAACACAUGCAAGUCGAGCGGAUGAAGGGAGCUUGCUCCUGGAUUCAGCGGCGGACGGGUGAGUAAUGCCUAGGAAUCUGCCUGGUAGUGGGGGAUAACGUCCGGAAACGGGCGCUAAUACCGCAUACGUCCUGAGGGAGAAAGUGGGAGAUCUUCGGACCUCACGCUAUCAGAUGGGCCUAGGUCGGAUUAGCUAGUUGGUGGGGUAAAGGCCUACCAAGGCGACGAUCCGUAACUGGUCUGAGAGGAUGAUCAGUCACACUGGAACUGAGACACGGUCCAGACUCCUACGGGAGGCAGCAGUGGGGAAUAUUGGACAAUGGGCGAAAGCCUGAUCCAGCCAUGCCGCGUGUGUGAAGAAGGUCUUCGGAUUGUAAAGCACUUUAAGUUGGGAGGAAGGGCAGUAAGUUAAUACCUUGCUGUUUUGACGUUACCAACAGAAUAAGCACCGGCUAACUUCGUG